UGAUGUGGAGCACGGCUGUGUUGGAACCUGAGGUAGAGCUCAGUAUCAAGUUCAUGUCUGGUUUCAAAUGGACUCAAAACUAAAUAUCUGGCAUUUGAAAGAACUCUUAAAACUGCAACAUGCAGAUGAGCCUACUUAGAAUACAGCAAACUGAGAGGACUGGGUGGUGGUGUCUCCCAUUGGCCAGACCAACAAGAUGCUGGAGGGGAUGGCAGCUGUGGGUGCAUGCCAUAGAAAUCAGCCUCCUGGAGAACGAGUAGAGUAAAUAAGUAUGGAGAGAAUAUGAUGGUAGUGAGACUGAUCAAUGAAAAUAGCCCA